rnacentral:rRNA from 1 species
AACGAACGCUGGCGGCAGGCCUAACACAUGCAAGUCGAGCGAGGACUUCGGUCCUAGCGGCGGACGGGUGAGUAACGCGUGGGAACGUGCCCUUUGCUUCGGAAUAGCCCUGGGAAACUGGGAGUAAUACCGGAUGAGCCCUUUGGGGGAAAGAUUUAUCGACGAAGGAUCGGCCCGCGUUGGAUUAGGUAGUUGGUGGGGUAAUGGCCUACCAAGCCGACGAUCCAUAGCUGGUUUGAGAGGAUGAUCAGCCACACUGGGACUGAGACACGGCCCAGACUCCUACGGGAGGCAGCAGUGGGGAAUCUUAGACAAUGGGGGAAACCCUGAUCUAGCCAUGCCGCGUGAGCGAUGAAGGCCUUAGGGUUGUAAAGCUCUUUCAGCUGGGAAGAUAAUGACGGUACCAGCAGAAGAAGCCCCGGCUAACUCCGUG